GAAUCUUCGGCAAUGGGGGGAACCCUGACCGAGCAACGCCGCGUGAGUGAAGAAGGUUUUCGGAUCGUAAAGCUCUGUUGUUAAGGAAGAACGAGUGUGAGAAUGGAAAGUUCAUGCUGUGACGGUACUUAACCAGAAAGGGACGGCUAACUACGUGCCAGCAGCCGCGGUAAUACGUAGGUCCCGAGCGUUGUCCGGAUUUAUUGGGCGUAAAGCGAGCGCAGGCGGUUCUUUAAGUCUGAAGUUAAAGGCAGUGGCUUAACCAUUGUACGCUUUGGAAACUGGAGGACUUGAGUGCAGAAGGGGAGAGUGGAAUUCCAUGUGUAGCGGUGAAAUGCGUAGAUAUAUGGAGGAACACCGGUGGCGAAAGCGGCUCUCUGGUCUGUAACUGACGCUGAGGCUCGAAAGCGUGGGGAG
rnacentral:rRNA from 1 species